UACAGGGGGUGCAAACGUUGCUCGGAAUCAUUGGGCGUAAAGCGCACGUAGGCGGUUCGUUAUGUCGGAUGUGAAAGCCCUUGGCUUAACCGAGGAAGUGCAUCCGAAACUGGCGAGCUAGAGUACGAAAGAGGAUCGCGGAAUUCCCGGUGUAGAGGUGAAAUUCGUAGAUAUCGGGAGGAACAACGGUGGCGAAGGCAACCAUCCAUGGUAAAAUGACGUUGAGGGGAUGAAAGUGUGGGGGAGCAAACGGG
rnacentral:rRNA from 1 species